AUACGGAGGGGGCUAGCGUUGCUCGGAAUUACUGGGCGUAAGGGGCGCGUAGGCGGAUUUUUUAGUCAGGCGUGAAAGCCCCGGGCUCAACCCGGGAACUGCGUUUGAUACUGGAAGUCUAGAGAUCUGGAGAGGGUGGUGGAAUUCCCAGUGUAGAGGUGAAAUUCGUAGAUAUUGGGAAGAACACCGGUGGCGAAGGCGGCCACCUGGCCAGACACUGACGCUAAGGCGCGAAAGCGUGGGGAGCAAACAGGAUUAGAAACCCCAGUAGUCC
rnacentral:rRNA from 1 species